CUGGGUCCACCUCCCACCCGUGUUUAUUUUACCUUGUUGCUUCGGCGGGCCCGCCUUAACUGGCCGCCGGGGGGCUUACGCCCCCGGGCCCGCGCCCGCCGAAGACACCCUCGAACUCUGUCUGAAGAUUGAAGUCUGAGUGAAAAUAUAAAUUAUUUAAAACUUUCAACAACGGAUCUCUUGGUUCCGGCAUCGAUGAAGAACGCAGCGAAAUGCGAUACGUAAUGUGAAUUGCAAAUUCAGUGAAUCAUCGAGUCUUUGAACGCACAUUGCGCCCCCUGGUAUUCCGGGGGGCAUGCCUGUCCGAGCGUCAUUGCUGCCCUCAAGCCCGGCUUGUGUGUUGGGCCCCGUCCCCCGAUCUCCGGGGGACGGGCCCGAAAGGCAGCGGCGGCACCGCGUCCGGUCCUCGAGCGUAUGGGGCUUUGUCACCCGCUCUGUAGGCCCGGCCGGCGCUUGCCGAUCAACCCAAAUUUUUAUCCAGGUUGACCUCGGAUCAGGUAGGGAUACCCGCUGAACUUAAGCAUAUCAAUAAGCGGAGGGAAAAGAAACCU
rnacentral:rRNA from 1 species